rnacentral:rRNA from 1 species
AAUGAACGCUGGCGGCGCGCCUAAUACAUGCAAGUCGAGCGAGAAGACGUAGCAAUACGUUUGUAAAGCGGCGAACGGGUGAGGAAUACAUGGGUAACCUACCCUCGAGUGGGGAAUAACUAGCCGAAGGUUAGCUGAUACCGCGUACGCUCCUUGGACUUCGGUUCAGGGAGGAAAGCGAUACCGUGGGUAUCGCGCUCUUGGAUGGGCUCAUGUCCUAUCAGCUUGUUGGGA